rnacentral:misc_RNA from 1 species
AUAGCGUGCCAUGGAGACGGUUGUGAAAUAAAAUCUUGUUAAAGAAAUCAUAUUUGAGUUCUCAUUCUUCGCAUCUUUACGGUUCAAUGGCGAAACCAAAAUAGAAUAAGAAGUUUUCUGUUUAUCGAACAACUUGUCCAACGGGAAGUGCUCCCGAAAAUAUAGAGUGAAGCUAACAUGCAGCGGAGAGCAUUACUGUAAAAGUUUUGUGUAACAAUGUGUAAUGUUGCCAUUUCUAUGCGCAAAAU